UGGUGUACCAGUUGUUCUGCCAAGAGCAUCGCUGGGUAGCUAUGUAGGGAAGGGAUAAACGCUGAAAGCAUCUAAGUGUGAAGCCCACCUCAAGAUGAGAUUUCCCAUGAUUUUAUAUCAGUAAGAGCCCUGAGAGAUGAUCAGGUUGAUAGGUUAGAAGUGGAAGUGUGGUGACACAUGUAGCGGACUAAUACUAAUAGCUCGAGGACUUAUCCAAC
rnacentral:rRNA from 1 species